CACUUACGGGAGGCAGCAGUGGGGAAUAUUGCACAAUGGGCGCAAGCCUGAUGCAGCCAUGCCGCGUGUAUGAAGAAGGCCUUCGGGUUGUAAAGUACUUUCAGCGGGGAGGAAGGUGUUGAGGUUAAUAACCUCAGCAAUUGACGUUACCCGCAGAAGAAGCACCGGCUAACUCCGUGCCAGCAGCCGCGGUAAUACGGAGGGUGCAAGCGUUAAUCGGAAUUACUGGGCGUAAAGCGCACGCAGGCGGUCUGUCAAGUCGGAUGUGAAAUCCCCGGGCUCAACCUGGGAACUGCAUUCGAAACUGGCAGGCUAGAGUCUUGUAGAGGGGGGUAGAAUUCCAGGUGUAGCGGUGAAAUGCGUAGAGAUCUGGAGGAAUACCGGUGGCGAAGGCGGCCCCCUGGACAAAGACUGACGCUCAGGUGCGAAAGCGUGGGGAGCAAACAGGAUUAGAAACCCGAGUAGUCCCA
rnacentral:rRNA from 1 species